CCCCUUUGUUGAUCCCAAUUUCCCCCUUUUUUCACCCCCAUUUUCCCCCUUCUUUAUCCGAAUUUCCCCACUUUUUCAUCCCAAUAUUCCCCUUCUUUGAUCCCAAUUUCCCCCUUUUUCCAUCCCAAUUUCCACCUUUUAUUGAUCCCAAUUUCCCCCUUUUUCCAUCCCAAUUUCCACCUUUUAUUGAUCCCAAUUUCCCCUUUUCUCUCCCAAUUUCCGCCUUUUAUUGACCCCAAUAUCCCCCUUUCUCUAUCCGAAUUUUCCCCUUCUUUGAUCCCAAUUUCCCCUUUUCUCUCCCAAUUUCCGCCUUUUAUUGACCCCAAUUUCCCCUCUUUUCAUCCCAAUUUUCCCCUUUUUUCUAUCUGAAUUUCCCCCUUUUUUGAUCCCAAUUUCCCCUUUUCAAUCCCAAUCUCCCCCUUUUUUCCUCCCAAAAUUUAUCCAAAACAUCCCAAAAUUCCGGUUCCCGACCGAAAUCUCACCGGUCCCACCAGGAUAACCCAAGAUUCCAACAUCCAGAGCUCCACUUUUUCCCAAAAUUCCCACAGGAUUUGAGCUUUGGGAAUUCACGGGAUGGGUUUGGGUCGGAAAAGAUCAAAUUCCACAGGCAGGGAAACCUUCCACCAUCCCAGGGUGCUCCUGGAAGUUGGGACAUUGGGGUGUCUUUGGGGUGUCCAUCUUUGGGGUGUCCAUCCCAGUGUCCAUCUCCCAUCAGGGCCACCAGAGUGUCCUGGGGUUGUGACAUUGGGGUGUCCCCAUGGAAUCUUUGGGAUGUCCUUGGCUGGUGGCUCCAAGCCCAGGUGGGAUCAUGGAUUGGGGUCACCUCAGGGUCACCAAAGGGUCCCAGAAGUUGUGGCAUUGGAGUGUCCCCAUGGAAUCUUUGGGGUGUCCAUCCCUGUGUCCAUCUCUGCUCAGGGCCACCAGAGUGUCCUGGAAGUUCUGGUUUUGUGGUGUCCCCAUGGAGUCUUUGGGAUGUCCCUGGGUGGUGGCUCUGAGCAGAGGUGGGAUCAUGGAUUGGGGUCAGCUCAGGGCCACCAGAGUGUCCUGGAAGUUGUGGUUUUGUGGUGUCCCCAUGGAAUCUUUGGGAUGUCCCUGGCUGGUGGCUCCAAGCCCAGGUGGGAUCAUGGAUUGGGGUCAGCUCAGGGCCACCAGAGUGUCCUGGGGUUAUGACACUGGGAGAUCUCCAUGGAAUCUUUGGGAUGUCCAUCCCUGUGUCCAUCUCUGCUCAGGGCCACCUGAGUGUCCUGGAAGUUAUGACAUCGAGGUGUCUCCAUGGAGCCACCAUGGAAUCUUUGAGAUGUCCCUGGCUGGUGGCUCCAAGCCCAGGUGGGAUCAUGGAUUGGGGUCACCUCAGGGCCACCUGAGUGUCCUGGGGUUCUGGCAUUCGGAUGUCCCCAUGGAAUCUUUGGGGUGUCCAUCCCAGUGUCCAUCUCUGCUCAGGGCCACCAGAGUGCCCUGGAAAUUGUGACAUUGGGGUGUCCCCAUGGACCCACCAUGGAAUCUUUGAGAUGUCCCUGGGUGGUGGCUCUGAGCAGAGGUGGGAUCAUGGAUUGGGGUCACCUCAGGGCCACCAAAGGGUCCUGGAAGUUGUGGCAUCGGGGUGUCCCCAUGGAAUCUUUGGGAUGUCCAUCCCAGUGUCCAUCUCUGCUCAGGGCCACCAGAGUGUCCUGGAAGUUCUGGUUUUGUGGUGUCCCCAUGGAAUCUUUGGGAUGUCCCUGGGUGGUGGCUCUGAGCCCACGUGGGAUCAUGGAUUAGGGUCACCUCAGGGCCACCUGAGUGUCCUGGAGUCGUGACAUUGGGGUGUCCCCAUGGAAUCUUUGGGAUGUCCAUCCCAGUGUCCAUCUCCCCUCAGGGCCACCAGAGUGUCCUGGAAGUUGGGACAUUGAGGUGUCCCCAUGGAGCCACCAUGGAAUCUUUGGGAUAUCCCUGGCUGGUGGCUCCAAGCAGAGGUGGGAUCAUGGAUUGGGGUCACCUCAGGGCCACCAAAGGGUCCUGAAAGUUGUGACAUUGGGGUGUCCCCAUGGAAUCUUUGGGAUGUCCAUCCCAGUGUCCAUCUCCCCUCAGGGCCACCAGAGUGUCCCAGCUCUGGUCACAUCCCGCUUUUCCCGGUCUCGCUCCUUCCUUCCCAUCCUUUUGCGUCCAUGCUCAUUCCCAGGUCCCCAAAUGAAAAGGAUCAUUCUCAAUCCUUGGAUAGAAAAAUCCCCAAAUAUCCAUUCAAAACCCCCCCUAAAAAAAUUCCCAUGGGAAGGGGUCCGUCCCCUCUGGAACUGCUGGAAUGGGAUGCUCCAGGAGAUCCCGAGGAUCUUCCCAUUCCUGUGGGAUUCGAGGUUGGAAAUCGUCCAUAUUCCAUGGUGGGAAAAACCCUAAAUAUGGGUUUAGCACCCCCAAAAAAUUCCCAUGGGAAGGGUUUAUCCCACCUGGAAUUGCUGGCAUGGGAUCAACGAGAUCCCAGCACCCCAAGGGAUUCCCUCCCGGCUUUUUCCCUGGAAAAAUCCUGCCGGCGAUCCCCGAGGAGAAGAAAUUCCAUAAUAAUGCCGAGAUCAAGAGGGGAUUAACCGGGAAUGCCUGGGAAUGUUCCGGGAUCGUUAUCCCAAAAACAACGGCUUUGGGAGAGGGUUGGGAAUUAUUUAGGAGCAGGGUUUGGGGGAAUUUGGGAGCAGUUUUGGGGGGGAUUUUGGGAGCUGUUUUGGGGGAUUUUGGGAUCUGGGUUGUGGGAAUUUCAGGAAUUGGUUUGCGGAUUUGGGGAGCUGGGUUUUAGGGGAUUUUGGGAUCU